ACUCAGAUACAUGAAACUUUUUCAGAUCCUUGUAUUUGUUCAAAAGCUUUUGAUACUUUUCCAGAACUUCUGAUAAACUGGAUUCAAUUUUAGAGCAAGAAAGUUCAGCAAAUACCUCUUCAGAAUCUGUCUCAUAUUCUGUUUCUAAUUGAAUCUUACCAGUAAGAGCUUAGGUGCAUGCCAUCGAUGCAACAUUAGCUUUCUAUUUCUAAGAGUCAUGUUCUGAGGAUUUUGAAUCAUCCACGGGUAGCCAUCAGACCCUUUUUCUUCCCUCUGAAGUCUUU
rnacentral:lncRNA from 1 species